rnacentral:rRNA from 1 species
UGCGUAGGCGGAAUAUUAAGUCAGUGGUGAAAUCCUGCGGCUCAACCGUAGAACUGCCAUUGAUACUGAUAUUCUUGAAUGUAGUUGAGGUAGGCGGAAUGUGUAAUGUAGCGGUGAAAUGCUUAGAUAUUACACAGAACACCGAUUGCGAAGGCAGCUUACUAAACUAUGAUUGACGCUGAGGCACGAAAGCGUGGGUAGCGAACAGGAUUAGAUACCCUGGUAGUCC